rnacentral:rRNA from 1 species
UACGUAGGCAGCAAGCGUUGUUCGGAGUUACUGGGCGUAAAGGGUGUGUAGGCGGUCUUCUAAGUUUGGUGUGAAAUCUCCCGGCUCAACUGGGAGGGUGCGCCGAAAACUGGGAGGCUAGAGUGCGGGAUGGGAGAGUGGAAUUCCUGGUGUAGCGGUGAAAUGCGUAGAUAUCAGGAGGAACGCCGGCGGCGAAAGCGACUCUCUGGCCUGUAACUGACGCUGAGGCGCGAAAGCUAGGGGAGCAAACGGG